CGAGCGCCACAGACAUUGACCGUCCGGCGAGCCUAGGCGACGGAACGCAACGCGAGCAGAAAUGAACGAAGUGCGCAUGCUCAUCCUUGUAGUCGUAUUGUCCGUCCUCGUUUUCAUGUUCAUCAGCCUGGUGCUGGGUGAUCAGAAGGUUGGACAACUGCAGCGCAGCUGAUGAAUUUCCGCAAUGAAGCAUGGCAACGUUGGAGCUAAGAGACCACCUGACCUGAUCAGCAAUUGGCUUUACUCAUGACCAGUCCUCUGUAAUCUGUACGUUGAAUACCAAAAAAUUGAAGUUGAUGGUCCAGA